rnacentral:ncRNA from 1 species
GAGUUUGAUCCUGGCUCAGGACGAACGCUGGCGGCGUGCUUAACACAUGCAAGUCGAGCGGAAAGGCCCCUUCGGGGGUACUCGAGCGGCGAACGGGUGAGUAACACGUGAGCAACCUGCCCCUGACUCUGGGAUAAGCCCGGGAAACCAGGUCUAAUACCGGAUGCGACCAUCUCUCUCAUGUGAUGAUGGUGGAAAGAUUUAUCGGUCAGGGAUGGGCUCGCGGCCUAUCAGCUUGUUGGUGGGGUAACGGCCUACCAAGGCGACGACGGGUAACCGGCCUGAGAGGGCGACCGGUCACACUGGGACUGAGACACGGCCCAGACUCCUACGGGAGGCAGCAGUGGGGAAUAUUGCGCAAUGGGCGGAAGCCUGACGCAGCGACGCCGCGUGAGGGAUGACGGCCUUCGGGUUGUAAACCUCUUUCAGCAGGGACGAAGCGCAAGUGACGGUACCUGCAGAAGAAGCGCCGGCUAACUACGUGCCAGCAGCCGCGGUAAUACGUAGGGCGCAAGCGUUGUCCGGAAUCAUUGGGCGUAAAGAGCUCGUAGGCGGUUUGUCGCGUCUGUCGUGAAAGCCCACGGCUUAACCGUGGGUCUGCGGUGGAUACGGGCAGACUAGAGGCAGGUAGGGGAGAAUGGAAUUCCCGGUGUAGCGGUGAAAUGCGCAGAUAUCGGGAGGAACACCGGUGGCGAAGGCGGUUCUCUGGGCCUGUACUGACGCUGAGGAGCGAAAGCGUGGGGAGCGAACAGGAUUAGAUACCCUGGUAGUCCACGCCGUAAACGUUGGGCGCUAGGUGUGGGGUCCUUCCACGGAUUCCGCGCCGUAGCUAACGCAUUAAGCGCCCCGCC